rnacentral:tRNA from 1 species
AUUAACUUGGCAGAAUUAAUGCGCCUGAUUUAGGAUCAGCUUAUAGUAUACACAUACUAGUUG